rnacentral:rRNA from 1 species
GUGAACGCUGGCGGUAGGCCUAACACAUGCCAGUCGAACGGCAGCACAGUAAGAGCUUGCUCUUACGGGUGGCGAGUGGCGGACGAGUGAGGAAUACAUCGGAAUCUACUUUUUCGUGGGGGAUAACGUAGGGAAACUUACGCUAAUACCGCAUACGACCUACGGGUGAAAGCAGGGGAUCUUCGGACCUUGCGCGAUUGAAUGAGCCGAUGUCGGAUUAGCUAGUUGGCGGGGUAAAGGCCCACCAAGGCGACGAUCCGUAGCUGGUCUGAGAGGAUGAUCAGCCACACUGGAACUGAGACACGGUCCAGACUCCUACGGGAGGCAGCAGUGGGGAAUAUUGGACAAUGGGCGCAAGCCUGAUCCAGCCAUACCGCGUGGGUGAAGAAGGCCUUCGGGUUGUAAAGCCCUUUUGUUGGGAAAGAAAAGCAGCAGGUUAAUACCCCGCUGUUCUGACGGGACCCAAAGAAUAAGCACCGGCUAACUUCGU